rnacentral:rRNA from 1 species
UACAGAGGUCCCAAGCGUUGUUCGGAUUCACUGGGCGUAAAGGGUGCGUAGGCGGUCGGGUAAGUCUGAUGUGAAAUCUCACAGCUUAACUGUGAAACUGCAUUGGAUACUAUUCGGCUUGAGAGUUGGAGGGGGGACUGGAAUUCUUGGUGUAGCAGUGAAAUGCGUAGAUAUCAAGAGGAACACCAGUGGCGAAGGCGAGUCCCUGGACAACUUCUGACGCUGAUGCACGAAAGCUAGGGUAGCGAACGGG